rnacentral:misc_RNA from 1 species
UGUCAUUAGUGGCUCUGAC